rnacentral:rRNA from 1 species
CAAGUCGAACGAUGAUCUCCAGCUUGCUGGGGGGAUUAGUGGCGAACGGGUGAGUAACACGUGAGUAACCUGCCCUUGACUCUGGGAUAAGCCUGGGAAACUGGGUCUAAUACUGGAUACGACCUUCCCACGCAUGUGGUGUUGGUGGAAAGCUUUUGUGGUUUUGGAUGGACUCGCGGCCUAUCAGCUUGUUGGUGGGGUAAUGGCCUACCAAGGCGACGACGGGUAGCCGGCCUGAGAGGGUGGACGGCCACACUGGGACUGAGACACGGCCCAGACUCCUACGGGAGGCAGCAGUGGGGAAUAUUGCACAAUGGGCGCAAGCCUGAUGCAGCGACGCCGCGUGAGGGAUGAAGGCCUUCGGGUUGUAAACCUCUUUCAGUAGGGAAGAAGCGAAAGUGACGGUACCUGCAGAAGAAGCGCCGGCUAACUACGUGCCAGCAGCCGCGGUAAUACGUAGGGCGCAAGCGUUAUCCGGAAUUAUUGGGCGUAAAGAGCUCGUAGGCGGUUUGUCGCGUCUGCCGUGAAAGUCCGGGGCUUAACUCCGGAUCUGCGGUGGGUACGGGCAGACUUGAGUGAUGUAGGGGAGACUGGAAUUCCUGGUGUAGCGGUGAAAUGCGCAGAUAUCAGGAGGAACACCGAUGGCGAAGGCAGGUCUCUGGGCAUUAAC